rnacentral:rRNA from 1 species
GCUACGGGUGGCAGCAGUGGGGGAUAUUGCACAAUGGGGGGAACCCUGAUGCAGCGACGCAGCGUGGGUGAAGAAGGGCCUCGGCGCGGAAAGCCCUGUCAGCAGGGAAGAAAAUGACGGUACCUGAAGAAGAAGCCACGGCUAACAACGAGCCAGCAGCCGCGGUAAUACGCCGGGGGCAAGGGUUAUCCGGAUUUACUGGGUGUCACGGGGGCGGAGACGGCGUGGCACGCCAGGAGAGAAAGCCCGGGGCCCACCCCCGUGACUGCUCUUGGAAGUGCGUGGCUUGAGUGCAGGAGGGGCAGGCGGCAUUCCUGGUGUAGCGGUGACAUGCUUAGAUAUCAGGAGGAACCCCGGUGGCGAAGGCGGCCUGCUGGACUGCAACUGACGUUGAGGCCCGACAGCGUGGGGAGCAAACAGGAUUAGAUACCCCUGUAGUC